rnacentral:lncRNA from 1 species
CUGAAAGGAAUACGGUCAGCUCAAAUUUUGGAUGCAUAUUUUUUUCCUUUGUAGUUGGUGUGUUGAAAAGUACGAUAUCCUGGGAAUUGAGAGGAUUCUUCAGUUAGCUUAGAGAUCUGAGACAGUUUACAUCAGUUGAGUUUAAAUCGAAGACUUCUUCAAAGCCAAGUUUCAGUUUUUGUCAAUUGCAGCCUCAUUUGUGUGUUCUGUCAAUGCUCAAGACUUUUGAAAGAACAGUGUAUGUUUUCUUUCUCUAUGGUUUUGUUGGGUGCAUCUAGCACAAUUUGUGCAAUUUGUGAUAAAACACAAGUGAAACUAACAAUUCUUCUGUCCUUGUAGUACUGUUUUGUGACUUUCUUGUGUUUGUAAUUUUCUAUUCUUUGUGUUUUCUAGUACAUGGCAGUCUAGUGUUAAGGACACUCAGGAAUCAUUCUGUGUAGAAGUUUAUGUGGAAAUCACUAACCUUGCCUGGUUCUGGCAUGAAAGAAAUACUGAUAGGGCUGUAAAUAAUGAAAGAAGUACUGGCAAGGCUGUCAAUACUGAAGUGAAAUGAAAUACUGAAUGAAAUAGUGUACUGUCAAGACUGCAUUGAAUACCGGUAAAAUAAGGAAGCAACUUUAUCUCUAGUGAUAUAUAAAUUACAUGCUUUAAGUGACAUAAAUUCAAAGACCAAAAAGAAAAAAGUGAGAAAGAAAGAAGUAGAGUAGUUGGAUAGAAGAUAUUUGAUUAUAGAGUCUUUUAACUUAAAAUAAAAAGAAUAGAGUUUGAAAAAUUACAAAAGAGUAAGUAAAAUUGAAGUGAAGAGGAUGAGUAACCUAGAGUAGUUUAAAAGAGCAUAUUUGAUUACAGAGAGGUUUUUUUAAAUAGGUGUAACCUUUUAAUUACAAACAGUGAGGAAGAUUGAUGUAAAAGAGUAAGGUUUCGAAGUUUCAGAGCUUCAAAAAAGGGGGGGGGGGUUGGCUCUUAACUCUAUAUAGCCCUUGGGGGCCUAAAGGCCCCCCCCCCUCAACAUUUUUCGUGAUAAUUUCUAAAUGCAAAAAAAUAAUAUGCUGAAAUUUCAUGACUUUUUUCUUUCACAUCUCACGCACAUUUUAAGAUCCUGUUUGCGAAAAUCAGGGGUACACUUGUGAAGAUAUAGCACAUAUUCAUGACCAAUGUCACCGAAAAUGGCAAUUUCCAUCGACUUUUGUGUGUACAAUGUAUGGGUUUUACAAGAAGUGUUGU